rnacentral:rRNA from 1 species
UACAGGGGGGGCAAGCGUUGUUCGGAAUUACUGGGCGUAAAGGGCUUGUAGGUGGCCAACUAAGUCACACGUGAAAUCCCCAGGCUUAACCGAGGAACUGCGUCCGAUACUGAAAGGCUUGAAUCCGGGAGAGGGAUGUGGAAUUCCAGGUGUAGCGGUGAAAUGCGUAGAUAUCUGGAGGAACACCGGUGGCGAAGGCGGCAUCCUGGACCGGUAUUGACGCUGAGGCGCGAAAGCGAGGGGAGCAAACGGG